rnacentral:rRNA from 1 species
UACGGAAGGGGCUAUCGUUGUUCGGAAUUACUGGGCGUAAAGAGCGCGUAGGCGGCUUACCAAGUUGGGGGUGAAAUCCCGGAGCUCAACUCCGGAACUGCCUUCAAAACUGGUAGGCUCGAGUCCGGAAGAGGGGCGUGGAAUUCCCAGUGUAGAGGCGAAAUUCGUAGAUAUUGGGAAGAACACCGGUGGCGAAGGCGGCGCCCUGGUCCGGUACUGACGCUGAGGGACGAAAGCGUGGGGAGAAAACCGG